rnacentral:rRNA from 1 species
GAUGAACGCUGGCGGCGUGCCUAACACAUGCAAGUCGAACGAGAAAUGGAGACGGAAACCUUCGGGCGGAAGGCUUCAUUUCGAGUGGCGGACGGGUGAGUAACGCGUGGGUAACCUGCCUCAUACAGGGGGAUAACAGUUGGAAACGACUGUUAAUACCGCAUAAGACCACAGCACCGCAUGGUGCGGGGGUAAAAACUCCGGUGGUAUGAGAUGGACCCGCGUUCGAUUAGCCAGUUGGCGGGGUAACGGCCCACCAAAGCGACGAUCGAUAGCCGAUCUGAGAGGAUGACCGGCCACAUUGGGACUGAGACACGGCCCAAACUCCUACGGGAGGCAGCAGUGGGGAAUAUUGCACAAUGGGGGAAACCCUGAUGCAGCGACGCCGCGUGAGUGAAGAAGUACUUCGGUAUGUAAAGCUCUAUCAGCAGGGAAGAAAAUGACGGUACCUGAGUAAGAAGCCCCGGCUAACUACGUG